AGGUGGAAUCUGAAUGCACAAGGAUCCACUCCAUCCAGCCUGGGCCAGAGCCUUGCAAGGCAAGGAGCAUGAGCUGACGCUGGGUCCAGCCAGCAGGGGGGUCUCCCAGGGUCAGGGAGCUGGAGCAACCACUGCUGAGCGCGACCCAGCAGGAUGAAUUCAGAAUCUUCCCCCAGCCGCCACCCCACCCCCGCUUCCUUUUGGUGGCUGUGGCGUGGAGAAGCCAUUUUCACGUGUAAGCUGCACCCUUCCUCCGACAGCGACCCCUGGGAGCUUUGCUUCCCCAGACUUGGCUGUGACGGAGUUGAGCCCAAGAGCAUCAAAGCAGUCCAGUGAACUCCCCUUUGGAAGCAUCCAGAGUAUAUUUGUGAAACCAGGCUCUGUACAGGGAAGACUGAAGCUAGACCCAAGCGAGAAAUUCCCAACUGCUUGCAGGGUUUUUGUUUCUGUUGUUUUAAAAUAAUCAUUAUGUUAAACUGACAUAUUGAAUGAAAAUUGUUGUAGAUUGGAAUCAUUCAUCAAGGAAGAAAUUGUGGAAUUCCCCUGCCUCUGUGACUGGGAAAGGAGGGCAAUCCUGAUUGGAGGCAGUCAGAAGGCUGGUGACCUGGCAUGUCCGAAGCCGAGAGAGGCGAUUGGCACUGGGCCCUGGCCACAGCUAGCCAAGGGAGGCUGCGGGGAAAUCACUUUCCUGAUUGCUGUGCAUCAAGCUGCUCUGUACCUGAGCUUGCAAAGAUUGUACCUCAACAGAGAGUUCCAGAUACACAGCCGUACAGCUGCUGCACCUGUCCACUGUCUGAGCAGCCUUCGUUCAGGGGCUUACUCUGGUCUCCUGCGUGCUGCAGGCAUAGUGGGCUAUAGUGGAGGCACUGGAGACUAGAGGGGAGAUCCAGGAGGAACAGGUGAGCCAAGGGAGAUGAAGUGUUCUUGGCAGAACAGGGAGAAGUCGUUCAGAGCCCAGGGAGCUCACACCCGCUGUUGCUGGCAGAGGUAAGGAAAGCCAUGCUAAGCUGUGCCGAGACUUGUGCGGGCUGUGGUGUGGGGUGGCUGUUAUCUCUCUAGGCUAGGCCAGCAACACUCAGCCUCAUAGACACACCCACAGCAGUGGCGCCCACCACCUUCCCAUUAGGAUCCUGACAUUUCCAUGAACAGAAUAGAUCCGGCUUACUAAAAAAAAAUGGGAUUAAGGCCUGGAGCAGGUGUUGGUGUUGGCUCUUUCUGUGUCUCUCAGGCCUAAUCAUGUGCUCAAAACCCAGUCUUCUUCCCUCAUUCUGGGGAUCCAGCCUAGGGCCUCGAGAAUGCUAGGCAAGUGCUCUGUUAUGGAGCCACCCCAUGGCCCUUCUCUGUCCCACCAGGAAAAAGGCCUCUUUUCUCUUCGCCCCUAUGGACUCAUUGCCCAUUGCUUAUUCAGCCUCAUGUAAAGUUAUGUGCAUGUGACUGAGAUGAAAGGCUCUGGAAGGUUUUCCCAUACUUAAUGUACCUCCUAGGCAGGGGGGUUGGUUGAAGAUGGGGGGCAGAGAGAGAGGAGGACUCUCCUCGCUCAUGAAUGGGAGUGAGGUGGGUUGCAUUAGCUGGAAUGAACAGUCGCAUUCCCCAUCAGUGCCUUAGUGGCCUGGAGACCUGAGCCUUCAAAUCUUCUUUACGCCCACACAUAGCUGCAGGGAAGUAUGCCCCAACACUUGGGCCCAAGCAAUCCCACUCCUGUGGAGUUCUCCUUCUACCCAGCUCUUCCUCCAACCCCUCCUCCCUGCAUUCAACAAUCCAUGAGCCUGCCUGGGCCCCACUGCCCAAGAGUUUGCUUAAUCAAGAUUUAUGAGCCACCUAGUGAGGUGCUAGAUUUUGCUCUCCUCUCCCAUCCUCUUCAUGCUCAUAGGACGCCAACCUCUAAUGCUUGCUGAUCCUUCCUGCCUACAUUCACCACUCCAUGGCAAGCCCCAACUGAGUCAUGGGGCAGCCAGAACAUUUCAGGAUCCUCUACAAGCACUAAACACCAAGAUGCUCCUUCACUUCUUUUCUGGUGACUUUCUCACAUGACGAAGCUCAAUGGGGACGUGUUUCUCCUAUAUGGUCUAAAUAAUAACUUUUCCAAGUCAA